rnacentral:lncRNA from 1 species
GUCAGUGCCUUCUAAUAUUGGUACAACGACAAACCCGACCAACAACUGCUCCUAUAUUUCCAGAACUCUUUCCUUUACGUUACCUGGGAUACCCUUUUUGUGUGAGUGUGGUAGGAGUCAAAUCCUUCAGGGAAAUGUGCAGCGUUUUCGUUAUUUCUGUUUUAUCACGACUGGGCCCCGGACAGCAAGUUAUGGAGGCACUCUACUCCCACACCAAGCUGGCUGCUCUGAGGAAAGGAGGCAUCUUCACUAAGGAGGAGCAUGGAGAUGCGAAUUUUUCAGGUCAUCAUUUAAGACAAAGAUGCUGCCUUUUGCUUCUGCUGAGCACCCAAAGGCCAGAGCCAAGUGAUGACUCAGUCACUGUACCCAGCAACGA